ACACUUCAACAAAAUGACGACAGCUCUAAAGACGAUCAUAGCCAUCUCUUCUAUUUCUGUGGUCCUCGGGGCUGGACCCGGCGGAGGGACGGGGGGACUGAGCUUUACCGACAUAGCCCGCCUUGUGGCCGCCAAUGUGGACCAAGACCAUGACGGUAACUUGACCCUGACGGAGAUCUACAACUCCCUGAUCACAAGGUUUGAUCACGACGGUGAGUGACCAUACUUUGGAGUACCUUUCAUUCAUCCAUCUAGUUUUUUUUAUCUCUUUCAGACAUAACUGUAAGGAAACUAGAAGUAUUGACAACUGAGUACUAUUUACUAGUACCAUACCUUUUACCUGUACAAUUAUUUACCUGGUUUUUUUACAUUCAAGUCCGUUUCCGUUUAAUGCUUGAACCACUAUCGUUGAUAAUUUGUCUCCUCUCUUAUUGUAUGAAUCGUUACAAUGAUAGUUAUUUCGACACAAAUUAAAACAUGGACUGCCAGCAUCAUAUUGAUAUAGGUCAAAGCAUAAAACAACUUCCAGAUAAUUCUUCUGACUAUGACAAAGGACAUAGAUCGUUGCAAUAAAUAGAUAACAGAUAUAUUGAGAUCGCUGACAUAAAUCUCAAAUCAACGGUCAGUGAGGCUGUCAGUGGUCUGAUGAUAUCAGAUUUGUGUUUGUAAAGCUAACCACUGACAAAGUGUCAGAUACUUUAGCAUUUAUAGAUCAGGCAAAUGUCAGUGAUUUAAUCAAGUGUUCAUGGUCAGUCAAACUGACAUUGAUCGGUGUCAUAAUUCGAUCUGUGUCAGCGCUAUACAACUGUCUCUUGUCCGUUCUAUGCUUUUUUGAUUGAUGUCGAUUAAACUGGCAGUUAUCCGCUGCGUACAAGAACGUGCACGUGGAUCUCUGCAACCAAUCACUGUCAGGUUUACAUUAUAUGAUCUGGCCCCGCCGCCACCAAACUUUUUGCAUCACUCAACUCAGUCCUCAUUUCAAAUCGUUGUAGGAAAAGUGCAUGAAUUUGAGGACAAAACUCAGACUUGAGGAAAGUUGGUGACGGUGAGGCCUGGUUUAUUCUAUACUGGAAUGUAAUCUUUUCCACGAACUCACAUUAUUGCUAUGUCAUGUCCCUUUCCGCUCUUUGAUGACUGAAGAUAAAACCGACCAGUGAUGAUUCAAUAUUUCAAGAUAAAAAAUAAACCUCAUAUUCAAAAUCUGCGUUACUGAUUACCAAAAAAGAUUUGACAAGAGAUACAGCACUUAUUUUGUAAAUGUAUUGUAUUUUAAAAGGGGAUGGUUGCGCAGAAAAGCAAGAGUUUGUCAAGCAAUGGAGUCACGAUUACCAUGACAACCCACACGUUUCCGGAAUUUUCUUUGACCAUCUAGAUUUAGACCAAGACGGUUGCCUCACACAGACAGACAUAGACUUUAAUUUUAGAGCAAUGGACGCUCAUGGAGAUCACAGCGUUACAGAGGCAGAGUUUGCUUCUUUUCUCUCGGCGGUACACCCGUCGUCCACAGGUGGCUCGUCGGUGGUCGGGUAGUUCCUAACAUAAGACCGCCAUGUUAGGGACGAUGUUGUCAUUUUACUCUUUCUAAUAAAUCAUAAAAAAAUU
rnacentral:misc_RNA from 1 species